GGGAUUGCUUAGUACGGCGAGUGAAGCGGCAAAAGCUCAAAUUUGAAAUCUGGUACCUUCGGUGCCCGAGUUGUAAUUUGGAGAGGGCAACUUUGGGGCCGUUCCUUGUCUAUGUUCCUUGGAACAGGACGUCAUAGAGGGUGAGAAUCCCGUGUGGCGAGGAGUGCGGUUCUUUGUAAAGUGCCUUCGAAGAGUCGAGUUGUUUGGGAAUGCAGCUCUAAGUGGGUGGUAAAUUCCAUCUAAAGCUAAAUAUUGGCGAGAGACCGAUAGCGAACAAGUACAGUGAUGGAAAGAUGAAAAGAACUUUGAAAAGAGAGUGAAAAAGUACGUGAAAUUGUUGAAAGGGAAGGGCAUUUGAUCAGACAUGGUGUUUUGUGCCCUCUGCUCCUUGUGGGUAGGGGAAUCUCGCAUUUCACUGGGCCAGCAUCAGUUUUGGUGGCAGGAUAAAUCCAUAGGAAUGUAGCUUGCCUCGGUAAGUAUUAUAGCCUGUGGGAAUACUGCCAGCUGGGACUGAGGACUGCGACGUAAGUCAAGGAUGCUGGCAUAAUGGUUAUAUGCCGCCCGUCUUGAACCACGGACCAACG
rnacentral:rRNA from 1 species